rnacentral:lncRNA from 1 species
GUCUCUACACACACAUAAGAAUCCACACGGGUGAGAAGCCCUAUGAGUGUAAAGAGUGUAGGAAGUCAUUCAUUCUCAAGUCAUACCUCACUGUGCACCAGAGAACUCACUCGGGCGAGAAGCCCUAUGGGUGUGACAUAUGUGGAAAAUCCUUUAAGCAAAAUUCCCACCUUCAUGCACAUAAGAGAACUCACACAAGCGAGAAACCCUACGAGUGUAUUGUAUGUGGCAAAAGUUACAAGCAGAGUCCGAGCCUCUACACACAUAAGAAAGUCCAUACCAGUGAGAAACCCUAUGAGUGUAAACAAUGUAGAAAGUCAUUUAGUCUGAAAUUCCACCUCACUAGACACCAGAGAACUCACUCUGGUGAGAAACACUAUCAGUGAAGUGUGUGCGUGGAUGAGCCUUGAAGCGAGUUCACACCUGUGUCCAUCAGAGAACUCAUCCGGGUGGGAAACCCCACAACAACUCUCUACCACCAGUCAUCUGCCCGCCAGGGCUUCGGUAGUGAGAAACCGUCAGUACCGUGUGUGUGGGAAAGCCUGGCAGAUGUCAAGCUGGUGCACACGUCAAGAGAAUUCGUACAGGUGACAGACCUUUAUGAUUAAAAACUAAAAAUAUCUCAGCCAAAGAUACAUCAGAGAACUCACAAGCGCGUGAGAAACCCUAAGGGCAUAUAAAUGUAAAGCGUAUCUCAACCCUAAGAUACAACUCAUUCAUCCAAACAAACAGUUGGGUGUGAUAUAAAACUAUACAGUUGGGGGUGAUGUAAAAACACACAGUUGGGGUUAAUGUAAAAAUACACAGUUGGGUGUAAUGUAUGUAGAAAAGCCUUUCUCCACAUGUCCUAUAUCUGCAGUCAUUAGACA